GGCAGUGCACAAAGCCUCCUGUGUCGGGGCUGAGCUGCUGAGAGGCCAGCGGAGUUCUCCGCAUGGGUUAAGGCCAGUUCCUGGGAGGAGAGAUGCUGGGUAGGGAGGUGUUGGCAUGUGGGACCUUGUGCAGCCUGGUCCUCUCCCGCAUUUGGGAGGGGCUGAGAGGAUAGCUGGGCUGGUCUGCUGGAGAGGUCCUCUGACUGGCUGUUCAGCUUGGGCUGCACACACACCCUCCCCUGUACAGGCCACACAGGAGCUGGUGCCCAUACACGGUGCGCUGCCGGGCUCUGAGGACACCCACUUCACCCCCAGCACCUCCGGCCCCCAUGUACCCACAAGAACACAUACUCAUAUCAGCUCAGAGACUGCACCUGCUGACCUAAAGAUCCCAGCUGGAGACUCCGAGGGAAACUGAGACAAUUACCAAGUCCUGAUGCGCAUCCUUAUUUCUCGAAGUGAGACUGAUCUUUUAAGUAUCCGAGUUGAGUUCAAAAAGAAAUUUGGGAAGUCCCUCUACUCUUCCCUCCAGAAUGCAGUGAAAGGCAACUGCCGGUCAGCCCUACUAGCCCUGUGCAGGGCUGAAGACCUUUGAGACCUCAUCCCCACAUGACCUUCAAGGAUCUGAGAUUCCCAUGGAUGACUGAGCCUGCAGGAGACCAGCUGGGCCUCCAAAUAAGAUAACCCCUCACUUGAGCACCACAUGUUCCAGCUUCUUGUGGAGUCUGGAACUCGAAGUUCCUCUUAAAUCCCUUAAGUUCCCUCAUCUCAAAGUGAUGUCUGCACCUGGGUCCCCUAGCUCUGUCUUGGGUAUGCGAUAAUGGGAUCUCUUUGAUAGUUUCUGCUCUACUCAUUCUUUCCGUAUUCUGGCCAGCACAUCUCACUGAUAUUUGGAUUCUUUUGGCAAGCUUCACUGUCAUUUGUGUUCCCUGAUUGAAGUUUGGGUGGAGCAGGACAUGGGCUGGGAGGAGGCCUUGAAGCUGGAGGUGCCUUUCAUGUGCACUUGGAUAUUCAACAGGAGUCCUGUUUGAGGCUCUAGACUGCAGUUGUCAACAACCCCCCUCCCCUCGGUGUCUCCCCUCACCCCCAUUAAUCUCUCUUCCCCAGGAAAUUUCAGGUAAAAUAAUUGAGAACCAGGAACCACAAUGAGGUCAGAAAUGGUUAGAGGUAGCAAAGGACCAUCUGUAUGACCUGAGAAGCAAGCAGAGGAUCAAGCUACCCCUCCCCUGCAUGGGAAGAUUGGGUUAGCAGGGUGCACAAUCCCCAAAUUCAUCUGUCCAAAGCAGGAACUUGGAAACCCACCUCCCAAAUUAUAGUACUACUUCCAAAAGAAGACCUAUCGAAAACAGAUAAAAAACAAAAAAGGAAAAAGCAGGCUUUGGCUCCCCCUGCUGCUUGUAUUAGAAAUGACAGGCCACCCCUUCACAUCU